ensembl:miRNA MIR628 microRNA 628
GCUGCUGUGUUGCUUCCUCAUGCUGACAUAUUUACUAGAGGGUGAAAUGAACAACCUUCUAGUAAGAGUGGCAGUUGAGGGAAAGGGAUCA